rnacentral:rRNA from 1 species
GACGUUAAGGGCGUCGAGCGGCGGACGGGUGAGUAAUGCCUGGGAAAUUGCCCUGAUGUGGGGGAUAACCAUUGGAAACGAUGGCUAAUACCGCAUAACGUCUACGGACCAAAGAGGGGGACCUUCGGGCCUCUCGCUUCAGGAUAUGCCCAGGUGGGAUUAGCUAGUUGGUGAGGUAAUGGCUCACCAAGGCGACGAUCCCUAGCUGGUCUGAGAGGAUGAUCAGCCACACUGGAACUGAGACACGGUCCAGACUCCUACGGGAGGCAGCAGUGGGGAAUAUUGCACAAUGGGCGCAAGCCUGAUGCAGCCAUGCCGCGUGUAUGAAGAAGGCCUUCGGGUUGUAAAGUACUUUCAGUCGUGAGGAAGGCAUUAACGUUAAUAGCGUUAGUGUUUGACGUUAGCGACAGAAGAAGCACCGGCUAACUCCGUGCCAGCAGCCGCGGUAAUACGGAGGGUGCGAGCGUUAAUCGGAAUUACUGGGCGUAAAGCGCAUGCAGGUGGUUUGUUAAGUCAGAUGUGAAAGCCCGGGGCUCAACCUCGGAACCGCAUUUGAAACUGGCAGGCUAGAGUACUGUAGAGGGGGGUAGAAUUUCAGGUGUAGCGGUGAAAUGCGUAGAGAUCUGAAGGAAUACCGGUGGCGAAGGCGGCCCCCUGGACAGAUACUGACACUCAGAUGCGAAAGCGUGGGGAGCAAACA